GCUAGCUGUAUGGUGAAUGCAUAUUGGAGA
rnacentral:piRNA from 1 species